CUUCGCUCUCUCUCUCUCUUCCGCGUGGUGACCCAUGGCUCAACGACCGCCAACGCGACGACCACCACGACCACACACGCAAUACACAACGUUGCUUUCUGCAUGAAAGCUUCCCACAAGGCGAGAAGCGCGCGCACCCAAACAAUACCGCAUACCUGAAAGGCAGCAGUGACACCAACGGCCAGGAGACGAGGCGUAAGACGGAACGGAUUGUGGCAUGCCGUCGUUUUCUCUCAUCGUUUUUGUGUACACGUUGCUCUCUCUUUCUCUCUCUGCGUGUGUGCUUGCUCGCGGCCGACGCCGAAUUUCUCUUGUGCUACGUGUGUUCACGCGAGCGCACCCGCUGCGUUGCGCAUCUGAUCUCUCUACUUCUCUUGCGCCGUUCACACUUGACCACCGACUGAUACUUGUGUGCACCAGCACGUGCUUGCUCGCUGCACUCGUGCCUUCGCAGCCGCAGCGAAGAGAACCUCGAAAAACAGCUCGCGCAAGUCUUUUAUCUCCGCUUGCCGAUCGACACGCACCGUCUCGUCUGCCAAGGUGGCCGUAGUGUGUAAGCGGGGUACAGCCAUCAGAUCGGCUGCCACUUGAAUUCCGCCCCCGCUUCCCCCCCCUCCCCAACACACACACAUACAUACGCACCAACCGACGCAUGACUGACGUCGUCUUCGUGCAUGUGUGUGCGUGGUGAUUGAGUGUAUUGUUCGUGUUGAUGCACAGCACACAACUCCACGGAGACAACGACGACAGCAAGCAUCGACAAGAGCGAAAAGGGCGCAAGCCGCUGUGAGGACGGCGUGAUUGAACGGGCAGAGAGAGCGAGAGGGAAGGAGAGGAGGAGGGGGCACACGAAUCUGUCAGUGCUCACGAGAAUCAACUCCAAUAAACCAUCUCCCUCCGCGCACACGUAUACCCACUGACCCGCCCCACACGCACACAGAGCGAGUCUUUCCUUCUCACACGCGGCCCCUUCCGCACCCACUCUUUCCCCGCGCCACACUCCUCAUUCCCCUGUCCGUGCUGGUGGUGCGUGAGCACUUCUGUUUUGUGGGUUCGCCUUUUUCGCGUCUUACCCUCCAAUACGGACAGUGCACCUUCUCUUCCCCUCCGCUUGCCUCCUCCUUUUGUCCCUCCCCACAUCACCGCUGUCGUACUGGCGCGACGACACAUCGCGACGCACACGCACAAG
rnacentral:misc_RNA from 1 species